rnacentral:ncRNA from 2 species
AAUACCAAGCAAGCGCCAGAACCCCGUUGGGGUUGACGAGGAGAGGGAGUAUCGAAGUUUUCGGCGGAUGCCCUCCGGCCCGGUCACGGCCGAUAGCGUAGGAUAAAACCAAGGGGUAACCCUGGGUACAAACACUACCGGUGACCAAC